rnacentral:rRNA from 1 species
GACGAACGCUGGCGGCGUGCCUAACACAUGCAAGUCGAACGGAGUUAUUUCGACAGAUUCCUUCGGGAUGAAGAUGAUUUAACUUAGUGGCGGACGGGUGCGUAACGCGUAGGCAACCUGCCUCUCACAGAGGGAUAGCCAUUGGAAACGAUGAUUAAAACCUCAUAACGCCGGAGAGAGACAUCUCCCUCCGGCCAAAGAUUUAUCGGUGAGAGAUGGGCCUGCGUCUGAUUAGCUAGUUGGUGGGGUAACGGCUCACCAAGGCGACGAUCAGUAGCCGACCUGAGAGGGUGAUCGGCCACAUUGGAACUGAGACACGGUCCAAACUCCUACGGGAGGCAGCAGUGGGGAAUAUUGCACAAUGGGCGAAAGCCUGAUGCAGCAACGCCGCGUGAAGGAUGAAGGCCUUCGGGUCGUAAACUUCUGUCCUUGGGGAAGAAGAACUGACGGUACCCUUGGAGGAAGCCCCGGCUAACUACGUG